CCCUAAUAGAUCAAAUACUCUCUUAAUACAUCUCAAUCCACUCUAAUACCAGUCAUUAUUAGAGUAUCCAAACUAGACCUCACGGGGUUUCCUUCUCACCGGUGUCGACGUGUGGCGGGGCAGAAGACAAAGGCGUCAUGAAUCCAAAGAUUUUAUCAAAUCAGGUUGAGUAUGCUUUUUUUAGCCUCCUUUCCCCCUCCCUCGAUGCCUCCUGCCCACGAGGCCACCACGUUUUCGUCGCCACAGUUGCCAGCUCAGAGCUUUCCCUCCUCUGCUUCCUCCUCAUCGUGGUCUACCUUCACGUCACUCUGCUCGAGCUCGCCACCCGCUUGGAAACUCUUGACGAUCGCAGUGGAACUCCGUGGCCACGGGCAGUUCGUGGAGGACGAUGGUGGCGUGGCCUCUGGGGACAGGAAAAGGAGGGAGCAGUAGGACAGUCGUCGCCAAGUAAGGCGAGGCCGAGGAGGCGGGGCACCGCCUCCAUGGGAAACCAGCCCCUGGUGACGGGGAAGAUGGAGGGGUACAAUGAUGUGAGUUGUGUUGAUUGAGUAGAUGCAUCAAGUAUGUUGAUCAAGCUACUUCCCGCUCAUGUUUCCAUAAGUCCAGCACACCUUUCUUCCCCCUCGAAAUUAGUUUGUUGUCAACUGACCAUGGAUUCAUUUGGACCUUAGGUAAAGUCGAUAACUACUUCAACAAAUGCUAUUAUUUCUUGAAUGGUUACCUCCAAGGAUCUAGUUCCAGCUAAAAUGGUUCAUUUUUGUUUGAUAUACCAUGAAAUGACAUUCCUUUCUUUUUUAGAAGAGCAAUACAUGUAAUAAGUACAAAAGAACCUACCUAGCACCUUUUAUAACAAUAGCGCUCUAUGUUUACAUUUUUAGAACAUUGAAGAUAAUAGAGGAACUUCUCUUAAUUACAUUGCAAUCAGACAACAGUUGCAAGAUAUGUGUUGUGGUUUUGGAGUCCAACUGGGGGACAAUAAGAUUUGUGUUCGGUAGAGAUGCAGGUGAGGACUCACUCCGAAUGGUGGAUCACGGAGAUCCGAGCAAACUGAGACACUAG
rnacentral:misc_RNA from 1 species